AAAAGGAGCAGGUAUUAGGCACAACCCUCUGUUAGCCCACAAUGCCUUGCUUAGCCACACCCCCAAGGGAGCUCAGCAGCAAUAAACAUUAAGCAAUGAGUGUAAACUUGACUUAGUUAAAACCAAGAGGGCCGGUAAAACUCGUGCCAGCCACCGCGGUUAUACGAGAGGCCCAAGUUGACAAAUGCCGGCGUAAAAUGUGGUUAAUAUAUUAUUAUACUAAAGCCGAACAUCUUCAAGACUGUAAUACGUAUUCGAAGACAAGAAGCCCUUCUACGAAAGUGGCCUUAAAAAGUAUUAUUCACGAAAGCUAGGAAACAAACUGGGAUUAGAUACCCCACUAUGCCUAGCCCUAAACACAAGUGAUUAGUCACACCCUUCGCUUGCCAGGGAACUACGAGCCCCAGCUUAAAACCCAAAGGACUUGGCGGUGCUUUAAACCCACCUAGAGGAGCCUGUUCUAGAACCGAUAACCCCCGUUAAACCUCACCCUCCCUUGCUAUUUCCGCCUAUAUACCGCCGUCGUCAGCUUACCCUGUGAAGGAUGCAUAGUGAGCAAAAUUGGCACAGCCUAAAACGCCAGGUCGAGGUGUAGCGCAUGAGAGGGGAAGAAAUGGGCUACAUUCACUGCCUCAGUGAACACGAAAAAUGCUUUGAAACAAGUAUUUAAAGGAGGAUUUAGUAGUAAAGAGGGAACAGAGUGCUCCCCUGAAACUGGCCCUGAAGCGCGCACACACCGCCCGUCACUCUCCCUAGGACUAC
rnacentral:rRNA from 1 species